rnacentral:rRNA from 1 species
UACGGAGGGGGUUAGCGUUGUUCGGAAUUACUGGGCGUAAAGCGCGCGUAGGCGGACCAGAAAGUUGGGGGUGAAAUCCCGGGGCUCAACCCCGGAACGGCCUCCAAAACUCCUGGUCUUGAGUUCGAGAGAGGUGAGUGGAAUUCCGAGUGUAGGGGUGAAAUUCGUAGAUAUUCGGAGGAACACCAGUGGCGAAGGCGGCUCACUGGCUCGAUACUGACGCUGAGGUGCGAAAGUGUGGGGAGCAAACAGG